GACGAACGCUGGCGGCGUGCUUAACACAUGCAAGUCGAACGGAAAGGCCCUGCUUUUGUGGGGUGCUCGAGUGGCAAACGGGUGAGUAACACGUGAGUAACCUGCCCUUGACUUUGGGAUAACUUCAGGAAACUGGGGCUAAUACCGGAUAGGAGCUCCUGCUGCAUGGUGGGGGUUGGAAAGUUUCGGCGGUUGGGGAUGGACUCGCGGCUUAUCAGCUUGUUGGUGGGGUAGUGGCUUACCAAGGCUUUGACGGGUAGCCGGCCUGAGAGGGUGACCGGCCACAUUGGGACUGAGAUACGGCCCAGACUCCUACGGGAGGCAGCAGUGGGGAAUAUUGCACAAUGGGCGGAAGCCUGAUGCAGCAACGCCGCGUGCGGGAUGACGGCCUUCGGGUUGUAAACCGCUUUCGCCUGUGACGAAGCGUGAGUGACGGUAAUGGGUAAAGAAGCACCGGCUAACUACGUGCCAGCAGCCGCGGUGAUACGUAGGGUGCGAGCGUUGUCCGGAUUUAUUGGGCGUAAAGGGCUCGUAGGUGGUUGAUCGCGUCGGAAGUGUAAUCUUGGGGCUUAACCCUGAGCGUGCUUUCGAUACGGGUUGACUUGAGGAAGGUAGGGGAGAAUGGAAUUCCUGGUGGAGCGGUGGAAUGCGCAGAUAUCAGGAGGAACACCAGUGGCGAAGGCGGUUCUCUGGGCCUUUCCUGACGCUGAGGAGCGAAAGCGUGGGGAGCGAACAGGCUUAGAUACCCUGGUAGUCCACGCUGUAAACGGUGGGUACUAGGUGUGGGGUCCAUUCCACGGGUUCCGUGCCGUAGCUAACGCUUUAAGUACCCCGCCUGGGGAGUACGGCCGCAAGGCUAAAACUCAAAGGAAUUGACGGGGCCCCGCACAAGCGGCGGAGCAUGCGGAUUAAUUCGAUGCAACGCGUAGAACCUUACCUGGGUUUGACAUGGAUCGGGAGCGCUCAGAGAUGGGUGUGCCUCUUUUGGGGUCGGUUCACAGGUGGUGCAUGGCUGUCGUCAGCUCGUGUCGUGAGAUGUUGGGUUAAGUCCCGCAACGAGCGCAACCCUUGUUCACUGUUGCCAGCACGUUAUGGUGGGGACUCAGUGGAGACCGCCGGGGUCAACUCGGAGGAAGGUGGGGAUGACGUCAAGUCAUCAUGCCCCUUAUGUCCAGGGCUUCACGCAUGCUACAAUGGCUGGUACAGAGAGUGGCGAGCCUGUGAGGGUGAGCGAAUCUCGGAAAGCCGGUCUCAGUUCGGAUUGGGGUCUGCAACUCGACCUCAUGAAGUCGGAGUCGCUAGUAAUCGCAGAUCAGCAACGCUGCGGUGAAUACGUUCCCGGG
rnacentral:rRNA from 1 species